GCAUAGUGGCUCAGGGGUAGAGAGUCUGCCUGGCAUUCAAAAGCGACCAGGUUCAAUCCCUGGCAUCUCCA
rnacentral:tRNA from 1 species